CAGCAGCCGCGGGAAUACGUAGGGUGCAAGCGUUAAUCGGAAUUACUGGGUGUAAAGCGUGCGCAGGCGGUUUGUUAAGACAGAUGUGAAAUCCCCGGGCUCAACCUGGGAACUGCAUUUGUGACUGGCAAGCUAGAGUGUGGCAGAGGGGGGUGGAAUUCCGCGCGUAGCAGUGAAAUGCGUAGAUAUGCGGAGGAACACCGAUGGCGAAGGCAGCCCCCUGGGCCAACACUGACGCUCAUGCACGAAAGCGUGGGGAGCAAACAGGAUUAGAUACCCCCGUAGUCCCUGUCUCUUAUAA
rnacentral:rRNA from 1 species